AAUCUGGUUGAUCCUGGCUGAACUGAUAUGUUUCUUUCAAAGAUUUAGCCAUGCAUGUCUAAGUGGAGUAUUAUAUAGCGAAACUGCGAACGGCUCAUUACAACAGAUAUAAUUUACUAGUUCUUGUUUCUAUAUGGAUAACUGCGGUAAUUCUGGAGCCAAUACAUGCAUCAAGCCCUGGCCGCUCGGUUAGGGUGCAAUUAUUGGAGCAAAACCAGUCUCGUACUGUUUGCUAACUCAGGAUAAUUCUGCAUAUCGCAUGGUCUUGUACCGGCGAAGUUUCUUUCAAGUAUCUGCUUUAUCAACUAUCGUUGGUAGUUUAUUGGUCUACCAUGGUGUUGACGGGUAACGGAGAAUCAGGGUUUGACUCCGGAGAGGGAGCCUUAGAAACGGCUACCAUGUCUAAGGAUAGCAGCAGGCGCGAAAAUUACCCAAUAUCAAAACGAUGAGGUAGUGACGAGAAAUAACAAGAUCGUUCUCUUUGAGAUCGAUUAUUGGAAUGAGUACAAUCCAGAAAUUUUAACGAGUACCUACGAGAGGGCAAGUCUGGUGCCAGCAGCCGCGGUAAUUCCAGCUCUCGUAAUGUAUAGAAUUAUUGUUGCGAUUAAAAAGUUCGUAGUUGGAUUGCAACGCAGGUAUGGGUCCACCCUCUGGGUGCGUACUCAAUGCUUGCAUUUUGCAUGUUUUUGUGGCGUCGCUUCGGUGGCGUUCAUGAUGCAUGCAGGAUUACUUUGAACGGCUCAAGUGCUUAAAGCAAGUCUUAUGACUGAAUACCGGUGCAUGGAAUAAUGGAACAAGGUUGUGGCUGAGUUUUAUUGGUUUUGUCGGCUAAAACAAUGGUUAACAGGAACAGCCGGGGGCAUUCGUAUCGCUGCGCGAGAGGUGAAAUUCGUGGACCGUAGCGAGACGUCCUACAGCGAAGGCAUUUGCCAAGAGUGUUUUCAUUAAUCAAGAACGAAAGUCAGAGGUUCGAAGGCGAUUAGAUACCGCUCUAGUUCUGACCGUAAACGAUGCCAACUGUCGAUCCGCUUGUGGAUUUUAUUCAUGAGCGGGGAGAUUUCCGGAAACGAAAGUUUUUCGGUUUCGGGGGAAGUAUGGUUGCAAAGCUGAAACUUAAAGGAAUUGACGGAAGGGCACCACCAGGAGUGGAGCUUGCGGCUUAAUUUGACUCAACACGGGAAAUCUCACCCGGCCAGUACAUCGUAAGGAUUGACAGACUGACAGCUCUUUCAUGAUUCGGUGAAUGGUGGUGCAUGGCCGUUCUUAGUUCGUGGAUUGAUUUGUCUGGUUUAUUCCGAUAACGAACGAGACUUUAACUAUUAAAUAGUGCGCAUGUUGCUUCGGCUGCGUGUGAUCACUUCUUAAAGGAAUUUGUGGUUUUCAACCUCAAGAAAUUGAGCAAUAACAGGUCUGUGAUGCCCUUAGAUGUUCGGGGCCGCACGCGUGCUACAAUGGUGGUAACAGCGUGAUUGUCCUUUUCCGACAGGAAUUGGCAAACAGUUGAGAUAUUAUUAUGGCUGGAAUUGAGUGUUGAAAUUUUCUCUCAUGAACGAGGAAUUCCAAGUAAAUGUGAGUCAUUAACUUGCAUUGAUUACGUCCCUGCCCUUUGUACACACCGCCCGUCGCUGCCCGGGACUGAGUUACUUCGAGAAAACUAGGGAUCGCUGGAGUUCGAUGUUUCGGCAUUGUCUUUGGUGAGAACUAGUUUAAUCGCAGUGGCUUGAACCGGGCAAAAGUCGUAACAAGGUAGCCGUAGGUGAACCUUCGGCUGGAUCAUUA
rnacentral:rRNA from 1 species